rnacentral:rRNA from 1 species
GACGAACGCUGGCGGCGUGCUUAACACAUGCAAGUCGAACGAAGAGCGAUGGAAGCUUGCUUCUAUCAAUCUUAGUGGCGAACGGGUGAGUAACGCGUAAUCAACCUGCCCUUCAGAGGGGGACAACAGUUGGAAACGACUGCUAAUACCGCAUACGAUCUAACCUCGGCAUCGAGGAUAGAUGAAAGGUGGCCUCUAUUUAUAAGCUAUCACUGAAGGAGGGGAUUGCGUCUGAUUAGCUAGUUGGAGGGGUAACGGCCCACCAAGGCGAUGAUCAGUAGCCGGUCUGAGAGGAUGAACGGCCACAUUGGGACUGAGACACGGCCCAGACUCCUACGGGAGGCAGCAGUGGGGAAUCUUCCGCAAUGGACGAAAGUCUGACGGAGCAACGCCGCGUGAGUGAUGACGGCCUUCGGGUUGUAAAGCUCUGUUAAUCGGGACGAAAGGCCUUCUUGCGAAUAGUUAGAAGGAUUGACGGUA